rnacentral:rRNA from 1 species
GCAUAUCAAUAAGCGGAGGAAAAGAAACCAACAGGGAUUGCCCUAGUAACGGCGAGUGAAGCGGCAACAGCUCAAAUUUGAAAGCUGGCCUUCGGGUCCGCAUUGUAAUUUGUAGAGGAUGCUUUGGGUGAAACGCCAGUCUAAGUUCCUUGGAACAGGACGUCAUAGAGGGUGAGAAUCCCGUAUGUGACUGGAAAUGUUAACCUAUGUAAAGCUCCUUCGACGAGUCGAGUUGUUUGGGAAUGCAGCUCUAAAUGGGAGGUAAAUUUCUUCUAAAGCUAAAUAUUGGCGAGAGACCGAUAGCGCACAAGUAGAGUGAUCGAAAGAUGAAAAGCACUUUGGAAAGAGAGUUAAAAAGCACGUGAAAUUGUUGAAAGGGAAGCGCUUGCAAUCAGACUUGUUUAAACUGUUCGGCCGGUCUUCUGACCGGUUUACUCAGUUUGGACAGGCCAGCAUCAGUUUCGGCGGCCGGAUAAAGGCUCUGGGAAUGUGGCCUUCACUUCGGUGAAGGUGUUAUAGCCCAGGGUGUAAUACGGCCAGCCGGGACUGAGGUCCGCGCUUCGGCUAGGAUGCUGGCGUAAUGGUUGUAAGCGACCCGUCUUGAAACACGGACCAA